CAGAGAUCGAGGCUUUCCAGAGGCUACAUGAGGAUUUUGAGGAUGUGAGUCUGUCUCAUAUUCUUCGGAGUCGGAAUGGUCGGGCAGAUGCGUUAGCAAAGAAUGCAAGGAUCAGAGGCUACUUGUUUUUCCAUAUAGAUUAGACCCGGACAGAUGGAGAUGCUCUCAGUAGAAUCGACUCGUCUAUUCUCCACUUGAUCUAGCUUAAAUGGAUAGACGACAAAAAAAAAAAAAAAAAAAGAAGGUUGUAACAUCUUUAAACCAUAACCAUCCGUUUCUUUUUGGUUGAGCCAUUUUUUCCUAAGAUAUCCAAGCGAUCUUUCUUUUGCCAGGCUUAGAAUCCCACCAGAAUCUGAUGAGAGUUGAUUGUAUGUUCGAGCAGACAGGCUGAAGAAGCUUGAAGCAGCUCAUCGUAUGGGAGGACAUCGGGGCCAAGACACUCUUUGUCAUCACCAUCUUCCCAGCCGUAGAUAGAAACUUUUUCGACCAGCUCACCGCUCUCUGGUGGAUUCUGUCGACUACUGAAGCAAACAAAUCUUUCUUCUUCCUGCCAAAAUGCUCAGGGAGCCCCAUAGAACAGGAGGUGGUUGAGGCAGUUGGUGGCGAUGGAAAUCCCUUUCAUGAGGCCUUUUUGAUUGAGCAUUCGUGCAGAGGCCUGUCAAGACUUCAGAGCAGAUAAUGAAUAUGUACGGGGAGAGUGGAUCUCCAUGUCUUAUUUCUCUCCCGGCUUUACAAAACUCCUACUGGCUCCAUUGAUGAUGAAGGUAUAGCUUACGGUAGUUAUGCAUUGCAUGAUCCAAGUAAUAAGCGUAGGAUGGAAGUUCAUUUUUCCCAGCACCUUCUCUAUAAAAACCCAUUCUAGCAUGUCAUAGGGUUUACUCAUGUCGGUUUUAAUGGCCAUAGAGUAGUGCUUCUCCGCUCUGGAGGUUUUUAGGUAAUGUAGGAUCUCAUGUGUUAUAAGAACGUUAUCUGAUAUGUCUCGUUUUGGGACAAAUGCAGAUUGAGUCUCGGAGAUAAGAGCUUGGAGGAUCGGCUGGAGGCGUCUAGAUAGCAGCUUGGAGAUUGUCUUAUAGUAGACAUUACAGAGCGCGAUGGGUUUGUAGUCUGCAGUGGUUUUUGCUCCUAGUCCUUUGGAAUCAGCCUCACAUGAGUCUCAUUGAUUGUCGGCAUGCUGCCGGAGAUAAAGAAGUCUUGGAUCUCCUUUACAAUAUCUCUUCCCAUCACUGUCCAAUUCUUCUGGAAGAAACACGCAGAGAAACCAUCAGGGCCUGGGGCUUUUUCAUGAUGGAUGAAAAAUAAAGCUUCCUUGAUCCUUCGCUUGAAGGUAUUCUCGUAAGAGUUUCAUUUUGUUCAUUUGUGAUCCGCGGGUAAAUAGCUUUUGAGACUGUCUUGUCCAUCAGUUCUAGGUUGCAUAUGUUUGGAGUAAAUAGUUUAGAAAAGUAUCUUUCGAUUGUGGCUGUUAUUUCUUUCUCCUUAUAAACUGGUACUCCAUCUUCAUUCUCUAGUACUGCAAACUUAUUCAUUGAUUUUCUCUUUUCUGUAGAGGCGUGGAAGCAACCCGUAUUCUUGUCCCCUAGGUGCAACCAGAGUUGUCUGUUGCAUUGUUUCCAGAAGUUCUCUUCGACUUUGUAUGCUUCAAGGAGAUCUUUCUUUAGUCGUUCCAAGAGCUCUGCGUUCGGGUGUGUAGAGAUGGUUUGAUCUUCGAUCAACUUCUUCAGUUUUUCCAGGUGAGCUCCAUUUUCCUCUCUAUGUUGCUUCGACCAGCUGAUAAUAGUUGUUCAACAUUUAUCAAUCUUUGUUUUGACUUUGAGUUGAGAAUGAUGGGCCCACGUGUCUUCGAUAAGCUUUACUACCUGAGGGUUCUUAUUUAAACUGCGGUUAUAUCUAAAUGUGCCUCUCUUUUUCCUUCGCAGCGGUUCAAAGAAGGUGAUGAUGGGUCUGUGGUCUGAACUAUCAAAGCGGAGGUACUCACAACGGCCUUAAGGGUAUAGCUCUUCCCAUGCGCUAUUUGACAUGGAUCUAUCUAGCCUGCAUUUAACCUCAUGGGUAUUUUUUGUGCCUUUCCAUGAUAGACAUUCUCCACUAUGUUGAAGGUCGUAGAGGUCUCCCUCUGAGAGGAACGUUCUAAAGUCAGAGAAAGAAGCUUCGGACCUUUCCGUACCUUCCUCCUUCUCGUAGUUUCCCGUUAGAUCGUUGAAAUCACCCAUAACCAGCCAAGCUGAGUCUCUGAUAAGGGCCAAAGAGGUAAGAAAAUCCCACGUUUGCUUCCUUCUUCUUUUGUCAGUAUUUUCAUAUACAAAGGUCGCAUAAGAAAAGUUUCCUUCAUACGAAAUUCUUGUAUCGAAAUAGUUGUUACAAGAGGAUAUAAUGUCAAGUUGAAGCCACUCUUUCCACAAGAUUGCGAGCUCUCCUCUUGCAACUCCAUAUGGUGCGACUGUUUUGAGGUUUGUAAACCCCAAACCUUCAAGUUUCUUUGCCACCAUAUGGUGGAGAUUUUUUGUUUCCCAGAGAAAGAUAAUAUCUGGAUCAAAUUGUUUGCAGAUUUCUCGGAGUGUCUGAACUGUCCAAGGGUUCCCCAGCCCUUGGCAGUUCCAAGCCACUAUUUUUAAGGAAGAGGAGAGGGCGGAUUUUGAAAAUCUGUUUCUACACUUCUUCUUUGAGGUCUCCCAGAUGAAGGUCCAUCCCGCUUUAGUUUACUUGAGGUACUCUCCUUAUUCUGUUGAAACUUUCUCAGCUUAGUCUUGGACACGUUCUCCUCAUUAAGAGGGAUACUCUUUGAGUUGUUUUUCUCAUUUCGAGGGAUUGUUUUUGAGAUUUUUGCAGCUCUGGCUGCUUUUCUUUUACGGAUUCCUGCAUUGACCAUGGCUAGAGACAGAGGAGUUAUAUGUCUUAUGGGUGGCAUGCUUGCUUUCUUUCUUUGUGCAGGUUGCUCAGACUGAGGUAAAGUAUCUCUUUCAGUUGGGGAGCCUCUAGGUCCCAGUCUAUUGAAUGCGGAUUGAGGUUCAUUCACUGGUCCCAAUCUUUGGGUUGGAGGGAUUCUGUCAGGGGUAUCUUCCAGCGAGAGCUCCCUCGCAUUUUCAGAGUGAAUUUCUAAGCUGUUUAUGACUAGACGAGCAGCAGCUUUCUCGAUAUCCCCUUGCUCCUUAGACAUGCGAAGCCUUUCUUUUCGAGAUGCGCUCUUGGUGGGAUCUUGGCAGUUUCAGUAUAUCAGCAUGUAGUCUCUGAUUACUCCUCUCGCUAUGUUUACAGCUUCCUCAGGUAUCUAUAUUGGGGGUAUUGUAGUACCAGUUCUCUGUGCAAUUUGAGCAUUGGAGCGAGAUGAUUCGGACCUCUCCAGGGGAUGGGGUGGUUGAUCUUUUUGGUCAGGUUUCUCCACCCAUAGAGAUUGAGAUGGUUGCGACUUUUGAGGGGCAUAGUGGUUAUUUGGUUGAUCAUGGCGUCUAUACUCUCGAGAGCGGUAAGAGUUGAGACUAUCUUCUCUCCUCUGAUAGCUAUUGUUAUGGCCAUAUCUUUGAGGUUCUCUUGUUGUUGGUUCUCUCCGUUGAGGGAGGAUUGUUUAAGUUGUAUGGUUCUGCUCUUCUUUUAUACCUCCUUUGGUUUUUUUCUGGUCCUCCAUUGUAGACGCCCCUGUAGUUUGGGCGUUGGUCAUCAUAGGGGGAAGUCCUAAAGGAGCUUUGGUGGUAUGAUCGUGAGAGGUUUGAUGGUUCUCUAGUGGAUGAACGUGGAGGGCGGGUAUGUCAGUAGAUUGUCGCUUACGGUGUGUGUUUGAAAGCUCUUUAGCCAUUUGUUGUUUCUCGGAGCAUUCUUCCUUGUCAUGGUAGAGGCUGUUACAAGUAGAGCAGUGAUUUUGGAGCUUCUCAUAUACCAGUGUUGCUUCAAGCUCACGGCCAUCAUCAAAUUCUAGAGUAGUUUUUCGAAUAAGGGGUUGAAGCUCGUUGAUAAACACCCGCAUUCUGACUACUGUGUUUGUUAUCUCAGAUAGAUACAGUGUUCCUAUGUCUCCUACGAUUCGCUCGAGGAUUUAAGUUGACCAUAGGUGCAGAGGGAGGCCUUGAACUUAUCCAAAAGGGGAUCUGGUUAGGGAAAAAGGUGAUAGCGAGGGCUGUCAUCGUUGUAUUAUCACCAUCCAAUGGGCGAAGUGGUACGGCUGGUUGUCUAGGACCUUCAAGAGGUCCCGUUCUAACGUAAAUUGGAACUGGAAGCACCCUUGCCCUAGAUCUGCACCAACUGGUCGAGAUACGCAUUUCCAGUGGUCAGAGAGGAAUGGGAUAAGUGACCACAUUCUCUGGACUUUAGGGUUUGUCAUCCUGCAAACCAAGAUGAGGGAGUGUUUUCUGAUAAAUUCAGAGCUAUCAAAAGCAGGGACCUUCACUCUAGCUGUUCAUGGAGGUGGUGAGGGGUCUGUACGGCCUUUCCCUUUUUCAGCGUAGGAGAGUCUAUGGUGCAUCUUGUUUGUAUCGGUGAAUGCUUCGGUGAAUGUGAAAGCAGGAGAGUAGAGGCCGGUUUUGUGUUGAGAGAAUCUUCUUGCUAGCACAAGAGAGAGUUUAGAGCAGAACUAUGGUUCUUCCUAAGAAGAGAUGUUUAGAUAAAGUUGUGGACUUUUUCUGGGGUUUGGUUGUAGAUGCGUUUCAUGUUUUGGAUAGGUGUUGCCGCCAGUGCGUAAAGGAGGAGUGGUCCCUCCGACCACAGAUCGGGGAAAGAACCCGGUGUGUAAAAAGCAGAGAUUUGUAGAAACCAAAGAUAUUUUCAAAAAGAGAAUAUUUUUGAAAAUGACAGGCAAAUACUCAACGGGUAAAACAAUACACGAUGAAAAGUUCAGUGGAUAACGGUAUUUCUAGGGAAGUGGGCCUGGGGGAAAAAAUCUGACGACUCCUCCAAAACUUCUUUAGGAGACAUCAUCUUUUAUUACGCUUUUAAUAUCAUGGAUGGCUUUCUGUUUAUUUUAAAUAUUGCAAUUUUUAUAUUAAGUGAAUAAAUGUUGAAAUAAACUCAAGUUUUGGUUAAGUUUUUUAGAUUUCUAAACCCACUUAAGAUUUUAAAACUUUUCUGGAAAACUUUUGUGUAGUAGAAAUUUCCAAUAUAAGGUAAAAACAUAAAGAUAAGAUAUGUUUCUGUAAUGUUUGGUCUAUAACCUCAGAAAUUCUGAAAUGUUUGGGUCUUAAGAUUAUUUGAACCACUGGGCCACAGAGAAAUGCAAGAGCUAAAAACAAAAA